rnacentral:lncRNA from 1 species
CAAGAUGUGAGAGUCAGAGGAAAUCAGCAUAAGAUCCAUCAAAUGGCCAAGAAAUACAGAAAUUAGAUGGUCAUGGUGAAGCACGCCUGUAAUCCCAGCUACUCAGGAGGCUGAGGCAGAAGAAUCACUUGAAUCCGGGAGGCAGAGGUUGUAGUGAGCCGAUAUCGUACCACUGCACUCCAGCCUGGGUGACAGAGUGAGACUCCACCUCAAAAAAGAAUAAAAUAAAGACCCAUCAAACAAAAAAUAAGCAAACUGAGAAGGAAAGGUUUAAUAACAUGCCCAAGGUCACACAGAUAAGAAGAUGCAUGCACAGCCAAGAUUCCAGUGUUCUGGUCCUCGGAGCCCACACAGUCAUCACCAGGAGGCUACACUGCCUCUUCCUCACUGAAACAUGCAAGGUUUCCCGUGAGUGCCAUGUUACUGGAAGAGACUUUGACAGCUAACUCUCUGGAAUGUUGAGGUUGCAACUGGGUAUCGUGGACUUACUUCUGUGAUAUCUUCAAUGACCAGGGGCUUUGCGGAAGUUCAAUGGGAUUCUGGUUUUGUGAAGCAGUGGAUAUGCUGGGUUUGUAUAACAACAUGUGGAGCAUCAUGGGAAGUCAACCUAUCAUCAAUUUCUCUGUUUCUUUAAGAUGUCAUUCAAAUGCAAACAGUCCUUUCUACUGCCAUUGCCACGACGGUAGUCCAGUGCCUCAUGACCCCAAUCCUAGAACGAUGCAGUAGGCUCUCAGCUCUCUCAGCUCAGUGCUUUUCAAAUCCUGGAUGCAGAUGACGAUCAUCCAACUACAGAUUCUCAGGCCACCCCAGGCAUACCAAGUCAGAAUCCUUGGGGGCUAAAAAAAUAAGGAAAGAAAGAAAAAAAGGAAGAAAAAGAAACAGGCAGAAAUAGGUCCUUGUCUUGGAAGGAACACUGAGCACUGGGUAAAGAGUCUCACCCAGGUCUCAUCUCUACCUUUCUGUAAAAAGAAAAAGCCUUCAACAGAUGCUGUUUCUUUAGUCACUUCAACCACAGGAAGAUGUCAAAUUCAGAAUGGCAUUUUUCACUUAUAAGAAAAAGAUCUGAAAACCCAAACUUGGAAUCUCAAAGAAAGCUUAAGUGGAAAGGACAUCUUUCAAUAACCAACAUCAUCAUCUUUCCCAUGUACUACCAUCCCAACAGACAGAGACAUCCAGGGAGUCCUGCUCUGUGAAGCACUUUUCAGGAAACAAUCAGCUUAAGACAUCACCCAUCCAAUUCACUUUGACUCUGAUGAACAGUGUCAUCGCUCCUCAGAAAAAUGAAACAGGAGUGGCAUAUAGUCAUGAUGACAGCCAGCUAACCAUUGGGAUCACAUGAAUAAGAGUGCAUCUUACAGAUUCGAGGAAAUCUGAGAACAUUUACAGAGCAUCCAGUGAGUGCCAAGAAUUUUAUAUGUGCCAUAUAGCACGUAAUCUUCACAGUCACACUCUCAAAAUCCAUAUUAUAAACUCCACCUCACAGAUGUUAAUAAGUGACUUCAUAUGGCAAGGUUUGUUUUCUCGCUUCAAAUGAACCACAUCCAGUAGGUAAAGGCCAAAGCCACACUGCAGAGACAUGAUGACAAAGGGUGGUCAUAGCCUCAAAAACAUGUUCUUCCAACGUCGUUAUGAAUGCCAUUCCAAUUAACUUCCCCACUAUUCCCUGGAAAAAUAUCCUUUGACCUCUGCUCAGACAACGUGGGAAGCCCUGUUUUGAAGCAAAUCUGUGGUAUGAGGAGAUGAAAACCUAGCCUAGGACAGAUGCACUGACAGAGUGGGAUUCUUGAGAAGUAUUGCAAAGUUAGGUAGAACUUGGUGAUCAAGUAAAUUACAACUGUUACAAGAUAAUAAACAAAG